rnacentral:Y_RNA from 1 species
GGCUUCCCCAAAGGUAGUGAGUUAUCUUAAUUGAUUGUUCACUGUCAGUUAAAUAUUGAACUCCUUGUUCUACUCUUUUCCACCUCCUCACUAAUGCGCUUGACUAGUCAAAA